UACAGAGGGUGCGAGCGUUGUCCGGAAUCACUGGGCGUAAAGGGCGCGUAGGCGGUCCGGUAAGCGUGCGGUGAAAGCCCGGGGCUCAACCCCGGGUCGGCCGUGCGAACUGCGGGACUGGAGCCGAUCAGAGGCAGGCGGAAUUCCAGGUGUAGCGGUGGAAUGCGUAGAGAUCCGGAAGAACACCGGUGGCGAAGGCGGCCUGCUGGGGUCUUGGCUGACGCUGAAGCGCGACAGCGUGGGGAGCAAACAGG
rnacentral:rRNA from 1 species